AUUGAACGCUGGCGGAAUGCUUUACACAUGCAAGUCGAACGGUAGAGGGGGCAACCCCUCGAGAGUGGCGAACGGGUGAGUAAUAUAUCGGAACGUGCCCAGUCGUGGGGGAUAACGUAGCGAAAGUUACGCUAAUACCGCAUACGAUCUAAGGAUGAAAGCGGGGGACCGCAAGACCUCGCGCGAUUGGAGCGGCCGAUAUCAGAUUAGGUAGUUGGUGGGGUAAAGGCUCACCAAGCCAACGAUCUGUAGCUGGUCUGAGAGGACGACCAGCCACACUGGAACUGAGACACGGUCCAGACUCCUACGGGAGGCAGCAGUGGGGAAUUUUGGACAAUGGACGCAAGUCUGAUCCAGCCAUUCCGCGCGCAGGAUGAAGGCCCUCGGGUUGUAAACUGCUUUUGUACGGAACGAAAAGGUCUCUCUUAAUACGGGGGACUCAUGACGGUACCGUAAGAAUAAGCACCGGCUAACUACGUGCCAGCCGCCGCCGUAA
rnacentral:rRNA from 1 species